GCCGAGGUGGCGGAACUGGAAGACGCGCAUGGUUGAGGGCCAUGUGGGGUUUUACCCCUUACGAGUUCGAAUCUCGUCCUCGGUA
rnacentral:tRNA from 1 species